UGAGCGGCUCUGCCGAAGUGCUUCCCCUGAAACCCACUGAUGAUUAAGAGCAUUUCCAGGCUGAGCCAACCACGCCGGCAUUAGAGUCUAAGGACUACUGGGAACCAAGGACUGACGCCCAUGUCUCAGAGCUGUGCCUUCCACUGCCUCCUAAAUAUCUGGUCUGCAGCUGGUUCACGGCCCCGAGUGCAGGUAGAGCAGACCUCCAAAACGACCAAAGGAAGAGAUUCAGCAAAAUGAGCCAAUGAUGCGUGUGAAGAACCACAUCAGUCAGUAAGCAUUGACUGAGCACCUUCUGUAUGCACAAGUUCACCUCAAAACAGCUGCUUGCAUCUUCUUGGAGCCGACUGGGUCGUGUGUUAGGGCCUGAACCAAUCAUCUGGCGAUAGUUGGGGUCUGUUAAAGAAAAAGACCAGUCUGCAGUAUGGUCUUCAAAUCUCCUUGCUGCCUCGAGAUCAAUCCAGGAAACCAGGUUGUUUGAUGCUUAAAUGACUAAACAAAAUGACCCUUGCAUCUUGGUUAGAGUAUAUUGCAGCAAACUCAGAGCAAAUCAUCUUGGCACCCAAAUAACCUCCAAGCUCCUUGCGUGCUGGUUAAGAGAAGAACGUCAUCUUGUAGGUUACAAGAUGGCAUUUGCUUGAAUCUGACACCAUACUCCUUGCAUGUAUGCCUGGCUUAUAAUUGGGUUACCCAAGAUACCAAGACAAGAGGCCUUUCCUGAGCACCUGUGACGUGCCAGGAGCUGUGCUGGGGUCUGACGGUAAGAGGCAGUCGCCGUCUCUUACGGGGCUCAUGGUUUCGUGCAGGAGACAGACACGUAAGCAAAUCUCGGCAGCUCGCAAGGCCAGAGGUGCACUAGAGGGUAAGAACCGAGUGCUGGGAGAGCACAGCUAGGGGCUGAUUCACGCCACCGGGGACCAGGGCAGGCAGGUGGGGUGCUGGGAGGCGAGGAUACAGAGCAGGGAAGAGCAUCUCUGUUACGUCACAGCAGGGUGAGGGACAGGGGAGAGUGACCAGUGUGUUGGUGAGCAGGAGAGAGGGCUGCGGGAGUCUCAGGCAGAAAGACCCAGGCUGAGGCCACAUCUGGACCCUGAAAUCUUCGAUCAGUGUCUGGACUUACCCUAAGGGCGAAGCGCGAUGAACAUCUUUGUGCACAGCUGUGGUCAUCGGGAGGCUGCAGGCAAAGACCGUUUCAAGGGCAGGAAUGCUGGGUGCGACUUGGGUCGAGGCAGAGCCUGGAGACAGCAGCCUGGUCAGGAGAAUGACCGUUUUGCGACCACUGGAAACUCGAGGCUGCCUCUCCCAGACCUCAGCUGUCGUCAGCGGGGGAAGAGGACAUAGACGCGAGAGAAACACGAAGGAAAUCUUCAGCACGUGGUGUCGGGGUGUGGGGUAGAGGGGGAUGUGGAGCUUCUAGGGAUAUAUUAAUAGCAGUGAUGGGGAUGAAGACGAUGAGAACUAACCUUUCCCAAGUGCUGUUCUAAGCUUGCAUGAUUCCUUCCAAUCCUCACCCUACCCGCUGAAGGAGGGACUGUAAUUCCCAUUUUAGAGAUGGAAAGAAUGAGGCACGGAACAUGCUAUGGUUUGAGUAUUUGUCCCCUCCACAACUCAUGUUGGAAUUUAGUCCCCAUCGUGGCAGUAUUGGGAGGUGGGUCACCAGGGCCCUGUCCUCAGGAAUGGAUUCAUCCACCGGUGGGCAGCUGGAUUCAUGGGUUAUCUCGGGAGAAGAACCGAUGGCUUUAUAAGAAAAGGAACAGAGGCCGGGUGC